CUGACAUUGAAUCGCUCGGUCGUUGACUGAAACAAAUCCUCGGUCAACUGGUCUGACAACGAACCUUACCAACGUAUUCAAACGUGCUGAAUAAAUAAGACUUGAGACAGUUUGAGGUACUGAUUUACUUUUGAUAAAGUACAAAUCCAGUCAACGCGGUGAACUUGUCACACCCUCAUGAUUUCAAUCAACGGUCAAAGGAAUCACCGGGUGCAAUUUAAUUUUUUUUCUCUUUGAAACGGAUGAAUCGAAAGUACGUGUUUGAAACAGCGAUUGACGAUGGCCUUGGCUCUCUUUUCACCAGGCGGUACGAGCACAUUGUGCCCAUAGCAGAUACCCGGGCGAGCAUACGUGACCCGCUUCGAAGCGGUAAAUAUUUUGAACUUGAACAUAUACUGCCGUUCGACGACUCUCGAUUCAUGACGAAGAUUUGAGGCUGAACUUCCUGGUGCGCUGAAAGACAAGUUCAGAUGUAGUCCGCGGUGCAACGGAGAAAUGGGACGAAUCAGAAGUAACAAGGUCGGACAAGUGUCAAUAUAAAUAUUCUUACCAUAGAUGACGUAUGUAUCACACUACAUACAUACAUAAGUAUACAAAAUUCUACAAACCUAC